GGGUUGUGAGGUUAAGCGACUAAGCGUACACGGUGGAUGCCCUGGCAGUCAGAGGCGAUGAAGGACGUGCUAAUCUGCGAUAAGCGUCGGUAAGGUGAUAUGAACCGUUAUAACCGGCGAUUUCCGAAUGGGGAAACCCAGUGUGAUUCGUCACACUAUCAUUAACUGAAUCCAUAGGUUAAUGAGGCGAACCGGGGGAACUGAAACAUCUAAGUACCCCGAGGAAAAGAAAUCAACCGAGAUUCCCCCAGUAGCGGCGAGCGAACGGGGAGCAGCCCAGAGCCUGAAUCAGUGUGUGUGUUAGUGGAAGCGUCUGGAAAGGCGCGCGAUACAGGGUGACAGCCCCGUACACAAAAAUGCACAUGCUGUGAGCUCGAUGAGUAGGGCGGGACACGUGGUAUCCUGUCUGAAUAUGGGGGGACCAUCCUCCAAGGCUAAAUACUCCUGACUGACCGAUAGUGAACCAGUACCGUGAGGGAAAGGCGAAAAGAACCCCGGCGAGGGGAGUGAAAAAGAACCUGAAACCGUGUACGUACAAGCAGUGGGAGCACGCUUAGGCGUGUGACUGCGUACCUUUUGUAUAAUGGGUCAGCGACUUAUAUUCUGUAGCAAGGUUAACCGAAUAGGGGAGCCGAAGGGAA
rnacentral:rRNA from 1 species